rnacentral:rRNA from 1 species
UAGUUGGUGAGGUAAUGGCUCACCAAGGCAAUGACGCCUAACUGGUUUGAGAGGAUGAUCAGUCACACUGGAACUGAGACACGGUCCAGACUCCUACGGGAGGCAGCAGUGGGGAAUAUUGCACAAUGGGGGAAACCCUGAUGCAGCAACGCCGCGUGGAGGAUGACACAUUUCGGUGCGUAAACUCCUUUUAUAUAGGAAGAUAAUGACGGUACUAUAUGAAUAAGCGCCGGCUAAUGCUCCGUGCCAGCCCCGCGGUAAUACGGAGGGCGCCAGCGUAACUCGGAAUCACUGGGCGUAAAAGAGCGUGUAGGCGGGUUAAUAAGUUUGAAAGGGAAAUCCUAUAGCUCAACUAUAGAACUGCUUUGAAAACUGUUAACCUAGAAUAUGGGAGAGGUAGAUGGAAUUUUCUGGUGUAGGGGUAAAAAUCCGUAGAGAUCAGAAGAAAUACCGAUUUGCGAAGGCGAUCUACUGGAACAUUAUUGACGCUGAGACGCGAAAGCGUGGGGAGCAAACAGGAAUUAGAUACCUGGUAGUCCACGCCCUAAACGAUGUACACUAGUUGUUGCGAGGCUCGACCUUGCAGUAAUGCAGUUAACACAUUAAGUGUACCGCCUGGGGAGUACGGUCGCAAGAUUAAAAACUCAAAGGAAUAGACGGGGACCCGCACAAGCGGUGGAGCAUGUGGUUUAAUUCGACGAUACGCGAAGAACCUUACCUGGACUUGACAUAGUAAGAAUAUUUAAGAGAUUAGAUAGUGUCUGCUUGCAGAAACUUGCAUACAGGUGCUGCACGGCUGUCGUCAGCUCGUGUCGUGAGAUGUUGGGUUAAGUCCCGCAACGAGCGCAACCCUCGUCGUUAGUUGCUAACAGUUCGGCUGAGAACUCUAACGAGACUGCCUGGGUAACCAGGAGGAAGGUGAGGACGACGUCAAGUCAUCAUGGCCCUUACGUCCAGGGCUACACACGUGCUACAAUGGGGCAUACAAAGAGCCGCGAUACCGCGAGGUGGAGCAAAUCUGUUAAAAUGCCUCCCAGUUCGGAUAGUAGUCUGCAACUCGACUACUUGAAGUUGGAAUCGCUAGUAAUCGUAGAUCAGCAAUGCUACGGUGAAUACGUUCCCGGGUCUUGUACUCACCGCCCGUCACACCAUGGGAGUUGAACUCAUUCGAAGCGGGGAUGCUAAGGUAGCUACCCUCCACAGUGGAUUCAGCGACUGGGGUG